rnacentral:rRNA from 1 species
AGAUUGAACGCUGGCGGCAUGCUUUACACAUGCAAGUCGAACGGUAACAGGCCGCAAGGUGCUGACGAGUGGCGAACGGGUGAGUAAUGCAUCGGAACGUGCCCAGUCGUGGGGGAUAACGCAGCGAAAGCUGUGCUAAUACCGCAUACGAUCUAUGGAUGAAAGCGGGGGACCGAAAGGCCUCGCGCGAUUGGAGCGGCCGAUGUCAGAUUAGCUAGUUGGUGGGUAAAGGCCCACCAAGGCGACGAUCUGUAGCUGGUCUGAGAGGACGACCAGCCACACUGGAACUGAGACACGGUCCAGACUCCUACGGGAGGCAGCAGUGGGGAAUUUUGGACAAUGGGCGCAAGCCUGAUCCAGCAAUGCCGCGUGCAGGAAGAAGGCCUUCGGUUGUAAACUGCUUUAGUACGGAACGAACGGUCGUAGGUUAAUACCGUCGGCUAAGUCGUAACGGUACCGUAACGUAAGUAAGACCGUAACCCGGACUAAACCGUACGUACGU